UACGUAGGGGGCGAGCGUUGUCCGGAGUUACUGGGCGUAAAGGGCAUGCAGGCGGUCCGACGCGUUUUUGUGUGACAGCGGGUGGCUUAACUACCCGAGGAUACGAAAGACGGUUGGACUUGAGGACUCGAGAGGGACACGGAAUUCCGGGUGGAGUGGUGAAAUGCGUAGAGAUCCGGAGGAACACCGAAGGCGAAGGCAGUGUCCUGGCGAGUGACUGACGCUGAGGUGCGAAAGCCAGGGAGCGAACGGG
rnacentral:rRNA from 1 species